ensembl:lncRNA
GGAGGGAGGGAGAGUGGACGUUUGCUGAAGGAUAACGUGAUCUGCUAGACCGUGUGUUUCCCUGGCUGCCCUGAAUCCCAGCGGAAACGCCAAACAGGCAGCUGGUGCUCAGCGGCUGACACUGCAACCUCCUGGAAGGAGCCACAUCCCAGCUUCUUUUCUGCCUGAUGUCAAAGCACCUCACACUCUGCGUCACUCUGGAAGGUGCUCGAUAAAACUCCCUUUAAUUGAUCAGAGUUCUGGACUAGGAUCAAUCAGCAUGUGACUAUGGUCAAGUCAAUUAACAUUUUCUCUGCUUGAAGGGCUGCGUGUGUAGAAGAUGAAAUGGGAAAAUGUGGUGCUCAGGGGCAUGCAUUCUCAAGCCCAAAUGCCCGGAUUCCGAUGCUGAUUCACAGCUUCCCAGCUGGGUGACUUUGGGCGAGCUGCCUAGCCUCUCUGUUUCAGUUUCCGCCUCUGUAAGUGAGGGUAGUAACAGUGGGUGCCUGAUAGGGUUGUUCUCAGGAUUACGUGGUACAGUCAUGGAAAGCCCAUCAUGGGGGGCCUGACUCAUGAAAAAUAGUUAAUUGUUGUAAGCAAGCUUAAAAAUUUUUUUAAAAAGCAAUGUCCACCUUUUAAGAGACACAGGAUAAUAAAGUGGAAAGAGCUAGGAUUUAGAGUCAGAAAACUUGUGUUGAGUCCUGGCCCCUCUAUUCCCACCACCUGUGACCUUGACCCAGUCCCAGUUUCCUCUGCUGUGAAACGCCGGCUCCUCCCCCGCCCGAGUGAGGAGCAGACAGACGGCAAAGGGCUUCCCUGAUGGAUGUUCCGAAUUCCAUCUUUAGAGUCGUGCCAGGACAUACGCCCCAGGCUGGGGAAUCGUCAUGUCCCUCGUCCAGCAGACCCCAGCAAGCCGACCCCCACGGAAGCCCGUGGACAGGAGUGCGUCCCUCUUCCAGAGUGAACACCUGGCUUUCACAAUCCCAUCACGCCAACAACAAAUGCCUGGAGGUUUUCACCUAGUAUUUGCUUUGUGCUACUAUUUGGCCUUUGCCUGUUUUCUCCACUUUCUCUCCUCCUGUCCCCUCGUGAACCCCCUGCACGUCCAAUAUUCCCCUGCGGCCGCUCUUGUCAAGGUCACUGAUGAUGAUACCAAUCCUGAUAUCAGUUUCCCCGCAUUAAACCCAGCAUAUAUGGGGUUAAAACCAAAACACUCAUUGCUUGCUUACUCUCUGGCUUCCUGGCUCCAGAAUCCACUAUGCUCCAUGGAGACAGACACCGUCAAGGACAAGCACCUGGACUAUCUCCUCCCCACAAAGAGACACAGACUAGUGGGAAAGCUUCUGACCAGCAAGGUCAUGAGCUCCCUCCUCUCUGCAAGUGUCUCCAGGCCAAAGACAGACACCGUCAAGGACAAGCACCUGGACUAUCUCCUCCCCACAAAGAGACACAGACCAGCAAGGUCAUGAGCUCCCUCCUCUCUGCAAGUGUCUCCAGGCCAAAGACAGGCUGGUGGGAAAGCUCUGACCAGCAAGGCCAUAUGCUCCCCCUCCCCUACCUAAAACCCCAAAUAAAAACCCUUCCUUUUAGCUUUUUCGGGGAGUUUGGGAUUUGAGCGUUAGCUGUCCUCUCUCCUUGCUCAGCGCUGUGCAAA